rnacentral:lncRNA from 1 species
UUGCCGAAAACUCCUGAAAUCUUUUCAAGUAGCCUUCAAAUAUCCCCACCUUUUUCAGGUGGAGGUAAUUGUUAUUAUCUUUAUCUUUUGAAGCACUAACCACAUAUCUUUUUGUUUUGUUGCAGCUAUUUAAGCACUUGUGGUCUUACAAAAAAGUGUCAGUUUCGUGAGAGUAGUCACUUUUGGAUGUCCCUACCCACCAACUAUCUUCCUCUAUUCAAAUGUUUUAAUGUUUAUCAACUUGUUUGAAAUUUUAUAUUAUUUCCCGUGUGCUCCACAGAUUAGAACAAACACUGCUAAGAGAAUCAGUGUUCUUUUAAAAGUCGAAGAGAAUGAUGAGUAUAGUUCGUUUUGGAUAGAAGGUGCUGAUCUUUGAGUGAGAUUGAUGAUACUCGGCAUUUGAAAAUACACUAGUCUUCAAAAGGUUCCCAAUUCUAUAACCUAGAGCAGACACUAGCGCUGGGGUCCUUGCUUACCAAGAGGUUUUAGUUUAUCAAAGACCUUCUAUGGAGCCUGUGAUGUGGCUCAGCAGGCGAAGAUGUCUGCUCUGAGCCUGAUCUGAGUUCUGUCCUCUGGACGCACAUGGUGGAAGGGGUUAAUGGACUCUGGAACGUUGUCUUCUAACCUGCAUAUGUGAUGCAAAUAUGCACAUAUGCACAAUAAAUUAAAGUGUAGUUUAAAACCAUGUCUUAUAAAUUGCUAUUAAACUUAGAAUAUUUAGCUUAAAAAAUUUGUUUUAUGCAGCUCAGCAAAGUAUUUUUCCUAUUAGUUGUGAAACAAAUACAUGUGUAGUUAAAACUGGUUGAAAUGACAUACCUCAUAUCUCUGGUAAACCUGUACUAUUCUCUAAACCUGUGUAAGGAGAUCACAUUGAGAAAUUACACAUGUAUCCUAACAUUUUUUUUAAAGUCUUUUUGUGAGAACAUUUUAUUUAUGGUAUUCUCGGUGAAAGUCAGUCUUUUGUAGGGGUGAAUAAGACUUUUGAAAAUAACCUCCUCAAAAAGCUACUAAGAACAUAUUGUUGACUAAUUUAGAUUAUCCUGUUUGCAGUGGCAGAUUAUGAUGAUAGCCCAGUGAGACUGACUUUGAAACUUGAUUCAAACUGUCCCUAGGGAUAAUUCAGACCUUUCUGUAGUAAACAUUUCUGGUUUUUUUUUUUUUUUUUUUUUUUUUGCUAAAUCCUCUUUUUUUUCCUCCUAUAAGUCCACUUGUAGAGUAUAGUUUGUAGCCUUACUCCUUACAGCUAAACAAGCUAAAUGGCAUAUGAUGCUUUUAUCCUGUUCAAUGUUAGUUUGAUCUUCCUUAUACUUGAUCUUCCCUUCUCUGCCAGCUGAAAUAGAUUCUUGCAGAAGACUGAGAAGGUCUAGAAUAGUGACUAAAACAUGAAGGUAGUCUGAGCCCCUGAGUGAUGAUACUGAGUCCACCUGUCAGCCAGGAAGACACACAUUAGGCUGUUACUGUGAUAACCCACUCAGCUUUCAAAUAGUAGCAGUUAGCAUUAGCCAACAUUACUUUAGAGCUUAAACAAAGGUGGUUAACCAGCAAUUGUCUUUGCAGUUACUCUGAUAGUUUUCCUUGGGAGACUCACUCUUUCUUGUCUGCUUUGUUAAAUAGGCAAACAUAUUGUCAGUGCUUCAAGACAGCCCAUCAAGUUGAUCAUGUGACUGUGAUGGAAUAUAUUUAUUUGGAAGUCAUUAGGUAUCACCAACCAAAGCAUAUAUAGUUACUCUCUGAUUAAAAAUGAAAACAUAAUCUUUAAAAACAUUUAGAGAUAUCUUAAGUAAUGACUGCCUCGUAGAAAUAAGAGCAAUCUGCGGAAGUACCUGGGAAGCUCAAGGAUCCCCCUGUUUGCAGAGUGGUUUUACAUUUUGUUCAGUUGUCCCAUCUCAUCGCUACACUGAAAAAUUAAGAAAAGCAGGCGGAGAGAGAAAAACAGUUGAGUCAUCUUUUUUGUGUAAUUAGGUUGGUGUGGUUUCAUCUUCCUCCCACAUUGAUAUGAGUCUCUAGUACAUCUGGAGGUGGUGCUCACGUUUAUAUUCCAAUUGUCCCCACUCUAAUGUUUAUUUUUAAUGACAAGUUGUUUCCCAAACUAAAAUCUGGAUUAUUUCACUCAGGUUGCAGGGCACUGGAAUUAUAUAAGGUUAUCCCAUUAUUUAAGCUAAAAAUUUAAAGUUAGAUGUCAAUAAACACUGGAACCCCCACUCUAUCUACUGGGAAUUGCCAAUCUUGAUUCAAGAACUGUUCAAUCAGUAAUUUUCGUAGACUAUUAUUAAGAUGAAAUGGCCAGUUUUAUAAUUAGAGGAAUAAAGGAUGAUGCUAUUCUAAAAUAUUUCUAGUAGUGGAUUUACUUUAUUUUCAAGUUGUUUUCAAUUCUUGACAUUACUUCCUGAAAUCUUUUAUGUAUAAUACUGGUAGAAUUGUUGGCGUGUAAUGAAUUCUGUGUAUGCAAACACGAACCAGUGUUUUACCUGUCCUUUAAAAACCAAAACAAGCCGGACGUUGUGGCACAUGCCUUUAAUCCCAGUACUCGGGAGGCAGAGGCAGGCGGAUUUCUGAGUUCCAGGCCAGCCUGGUCUACAGAGUGAGUUCCAGGAUAGCCAGGGCUACACAGAGAAACCCUGUCUCGAACCCCUCCCCCCCCCAAAAAAAUC